CAGCAGCCGCGGGAAUACAGAGGGUGCGAGCGUUAAUCGGAUUUACUGGGCGUAAAGCGUGCGUAGGCGGCUUCUUAAGUCGGAUGUGAAAUCCCUGAGCUUAACUUAGGAAUUGCAUUCGAUACUGGGAAGCUAGAGUAUGGGAGAGGAUGGUAGAAUUCCAGGUGUAGCGGUUAAAUGCGUAGAGAUCUGGAGGAAUACCGAUGGCGAAGGCAGCCAUCUGGCCUAAUACUGACGCUGAGGUACGAAAGCAUGGGGAGCAAACAGGAUUAGAUACCCCUGUAGUCCCUGUCUCUUAUAC
rnacentral:rRNA from 1 species